rnacentral:rRNA from 1 species
AGUGAACGCUGGCGGUAGGCCUAACACAUGCAAGUCGAACGGCAGCACAGUAAGAGCUUGCUCUUACGGGUGGCGAGUGGCGGACGGGUGAGGAAUACAUCGGACUCUACUUUUUCGUGGGGGAUAACGUAGGGAAACUUACGCUAAUACCGCAUACGACCUACGGGUGAAAGCAGGGGAUCUUCGGACCUUACGCGAUUGAAUGAGCCGAUGUCGGAUUAGCUAGUUGGCGGGGUAAAGGCCCACCAAGGCGACGAUCCGUAGCUGGUCUGAGAGGAUGAUCAGCGACACUGGAACUGAGACACGGUCCAGACCCCUACGGGAGGCAGCAGUGGGGAAUAUGGGACAAUGGGCGCAAGCCUGAUCCAGCCAGACCGCGUGGGUGAAGAAGGCCUUCGGGUUGUAAAGCCCUUUUGUUGGGAAAGAAAAGCAGCAGGUUAAUACCCCGCUGUUCUGACGGUACCCAAAGAAUAAGCACCGGCUAACUACGUG